GGCCGCGUAGCGCAGUGGAUAACGCGUCUGCCUACGGAGCAGAAGAUUGCAGGUUCG
rnacentral:tRNA from 1 species